rnacentral:rRNA from 1 species
AUUGAACGCUGGCGGCAUGCUUUACACAUGCAAGUCGAACGGUAACAGGGAGCUUGCUCCGCUGACGAGUGGCGAACGGGUGAGUAAUAUAUCGGAACGUACCCAAGAGUGGGGGAUAACGUAGCGAAAGUUACGCUAAUACCGCAUACGAUCUAUGGAUGAAAGCAGGGGACCUUCGGGCCUUGUGCUCCUGGAGCGGCCGAUAUCUGAUUAGCUAGUUGGUGAGGUAAAGGCUCACCAAGGCGACGAUCAGUAGCUGGUCUGAGAGGACGACCAGCCACACUGGAACUGAGACACGGUCCAGACUCCUACGGGAGGCAGCAGUGGGGAAUUUUGGACAAUGGCCGCAAGCCUGAUCCAGCAAUGCCGCGUGAGUGAAGAAGGCCUUCGGGUUGUAAAGCUCUUUUGUCAGGGAAGAAACGGUAGAGGCUAAUAUCCUUUGCUAAUGACGGUACCUGAAGAAUAAGCACCGGCUAACUACGUGCCAGCAGCCGCCGUAAAAC